UACGUCGGUGGUAUGUCAUAAAGACAGCCCCCAACAUCUGACACACUCACACACAGACGUACGCCUCCAUGAUGUGUCAUAUGCCUUCCACUUGCCUCUUUCCAUCAUUCCCCACCUGCUACCUACACAUGCUCUGCCUCCCUGCCUCCCCCAUCUCUUUUUUUUUGGUGUACUCUUUUUCAUUCUUUUUCUCCACUCUUCCUUCUCCUCCUCCCCCUCCGCACGCUGUGUGUCAGCGAUACGAGACACAACGAAAAAUGUUACGGCAGAUAAAGCUAAUAAGAGGAAAGGAGCCACGUCAACCACCCCGAAAGGAGGCAAGAACUGGAGUGAGUUUUACUUCUAAACCCUCAUGUGUCUGACGUUUCUUUCAUGGAAUAUCCCAGAAGAUGAAGGUUAGGAAGAGGGAGAAGAUGGGAGAUGGAUUCGAAAGCGGACAGCAGUGAUAAAAUUCAGAGGGCAGGACUUGCCUGAGGAGGCUGCUUAGCUCCUUCCAGUCCAAUCUCAUUGUCCUUAGACACACAUGCGCAUCGCUACCGUUUGUGCAUGUGUCUGAGUGAGGACAGGGGGGUGCAGCCGGUCAUUUUGAACACGUCCAUUGAGCAGAGAGUCAUGCUCGCGUCCGAGGUCUACAUGAGAGCGGCAAAUUAGUCCGGAGAUGCCCUUCACCUGUCUAUGUUUUUGUGGCCUAAACGGCUUCUGCAACAGGCAGAAGGUGAAGAAAAAGCAGCUAAAAGAAGAGGAAAGUGGAAAGGCAGAACAAUGGAAGCAUCCGGAUACGUAUGUGUAACAGGCAUUACUGACCUCACCUUUACAUUCUAAUGGUAAUCAGACUGCAAAAUGAUGGUUAAGUGUUAAUGCGGGAUGGGAAUCAGAAUUUUUAGCACGUAAAUGUUUUUUCGAUUCUGGUUGACUUCCGCACUUAUUUCAGAGUUAAAUGGUGAUGAGGUGCCCGGUUUAAGAUUUGCUCUUUAACUGUCUGCAAUCAAUGACCCCAAAGAUGUGAGUUUUUGAAUCAACUUCCCUUUUUGUUAUUGUUGUACUGUAUUACUUUGGGGUGGGGGCGGGGGGCGUCUACUUUUCCAAUUUCCAAUUUUAUACCAAUCAUUUCUUGUAUUUGCCAGUGCACUAUAUGGUGACGUGAAGUCAGUUUCAUCCAGAAAUCCAUUAUUUCUCUCGUCACACCUCUCGGUGAUACCCCCGUUGCUCUUUUCGCGCCCUUAAUCGCCAUUCCACACCGAAUUGGAACCAAAGCCAUGCAGAGCACUAAACCUCCCGCAUCUCGCGUGGAUGUCAGUUCAACUUAGUGAGGAUUCCAACUUGGUGACAGACUCGACAGCCAUUUCCAAAGUCACCCGUGGUGCGUUGGAGCCCAUCUUGAUUUUCACACUGAGCUGGGCACGAUCGAAAACUGAGCAGCUGUCCAAUCAGCAGCGUCACUCAAGUGUAAAGAUAGGAGUCAGGGGUCAGAAUGAGCAACAGGGUUUGUGAGAAAAUCCCUCCUCGGACACCACAACAUCUCAGUCUCACUAAUAGAGAGCCAACUAAUUACAAACACACAAAAAGCGCUGCAGACCCACCAAUUAAUGUCCUCCAGUGAGAGUGUCUGCGCAUAAAUGCCACCGCAGUGCACAUUCAGCUAUCACUUGUUGUGAUGUGUGAGUUUAGAGUGUGUAUGUGUGCAUCUUGGCUGCAACAAUAGAUUUUCAAGCCUGAAACAAAUGGAUAAAAUGUCCAUUAAAGCACAACGGCACUGCCUUUUCAAAAUCCACCCAAUGACAAAGAUGCAUGCACACACACACACACACACACACACACACACACGUAUUGCCUAGGUCUCAUUAGUGUUUGUGAUUAUGCAUCACACGUCCAGUCAGGCAGUGGAGAUGUAAUUAACCUUUUCCAGCAGGAAACAGAUGCCUGAAUGUCGCACACACACAGACAUACACAAGGAAACACACACACCCGCUGUCAGGGAAACAAAGCCACCGUCACGGUGUCACGGAAACAAAGUCCCCAAAAGCAGUGCCUGGCACUCGGUGAUAAUCCCCCCCCCCCUUUGCAUAUUACAUUUAGGGUUUAGAGAACAGAUCAACGCUGCUGUCUCCACCCGGCCUCUCGCCUUUCUGACUGUUUUUCAGCCUGUUGAAAUGUGGACAGCCACGAUUGUGCUCAUGCGCAAUUCUCCGUCAAAUUGCAGAUUGUUGACAAUUACUCCCACCGCAAGCUUUGAAAUUCAACAAAGCUGAAGCCAUUUCACAGUGUCGAACACCUAUUAUGAUUCGCGGCGUUCUAACACUGCUCUAAUGAGGAACAGAGCGAGUGAGGGAAUUGUGGUGGAAAACGAUACGGCGGAAGACAGGAUAGAUGAGAGGGAGGAAUGAAUACGGAAGAUGGGGGUCCAACUAACUCUCGACGAAGCAGUCAUGCUAAUUGGCUACAGCGGGUAACUUUCGAAGGUGGGGGAUGUGUGCGGUGGGGGGUGGUGAUGAUAGGCUUAGGGAGUGGGAUAGCAACGGAAAGAACAGCCUGAUCUGUCGGCAUUACACUCGUUUAAUGCUCACUCCAUUUCACCUCAUUAAUGAGAGAAUGUUUGCAUCCGUAAUGGUGAGCGACUUGAAAUUGGGAACGGUGCACUGCUCCCACACAGAUGUGUGUGUAUGAUGGGGGGGCGGGAUCUUUUCUCCUCCUUUUUUAUGGAUCACAGCGAUGCUCAGGGAUUGUAAUUCAAGGACAAAAAGAUAAAAAUAGACGGGUGGUGCACGACUUCUGCGUUAGUGGGAUGGGAGGAGGUGUGUACGUCUGAGAGGGAGGUGACAGCGAAAAUGAGUCCUGUCGCAUUAGAUUUGGGUCAAGAAUGGGGGAGACGGACCAGAGGAAGAGGCGAGCAUUGCAGACGGUGUGGAGAUUCAUCACUUGUUCCACCCUCAGUCUCUCCCUCCUCUCCUUUGAGACUUCAUCACUUUCUUUUCUUUUUCACACAAAUGCGCACGCAGGCACAUUCGCAAACACACACCACAGGAAGGGGAUGAGGUAUUAACGGGAAAAAAAAGGCUGUAAAGACAAAGGACCAGCAGGGGGAAGAAAAAGAGCAGAAGAGAGAAUAUAUAAUGGGAGAGAAAGGGAGGCCAAACCUCAGCUAAGUUACAUCUUAUUAGAAUAUUCAUUUCUGCAAUUCCAUCCAAGGAUUUUUCCAGUAUAAUGAAUGGAUUUGAAGUGCUAAUUCCAGUUCGACUUGAGCUCUAAUCAUCGUGCGCUUGUUUAACUUUAAAAGCCUGUGUGCAAUAAUUUGGGGCAAUGAAAAUGUUAGCGGUGAAAGGAAUCUUCAACUCAUUGUUAACAAUGCUCGUGCUGGGCGGUAUGGGAAAAGCAUCUUAUAUCACGACAUGGGCCAUAUGCCAUGAUGUAGUAGGUGUUUAGUUAUUCUAUGAAAAAUUUGAAAACAUACUAUUAGGGAUGAGAAUCGAUAAGAUUUUUACAAUUUACAAUUCUGAUUCCGUUAUUCGUUUUUU